rnacentral:rRNA from 1 species
AUGGAGAACACUCAUCACGGGCGACCGGCUGCUAGAGCAAACUCCAAACAGUCCGUCAAGGGCCCCGGCAAGUCCUCCUCCCUCGACAUGGUGGAGGCCAAUGAAGAUGAUAGGCUCAGCAAGUUGCCUGAUGACAUUUUGCUCAACAUUGUUGAGCGACUUGAUAUAGCUGACGCUGCACGAACAACCAUCCUCUCCAGACGUUGGAAGCAGAUCCCUGCUGUACUCUCAAAAAUUGUUAUAAUGGCUGGUUCUUUUGAGCCCAAGCACAAAGAAUGGAGCAAGUUAACCUCAGAUGAUAUAGUUCGGGCUAACACCACCGUGCUGGAAGCAACCAGGAGCAUACUGGAAAGGAGGGCUGGAAGUCUGUACCCCAUCCACAUGUUGCGCAUUCAAUUCUACCUGGGAGAUGAGUCCAUUUUAAUUGGCCAGACUGUUGCCAACACCAUGACAACACAAAAGGUUGCUUCAGCCGAGUUUACAAUCUUGACGAAGGUGCGUAAAAAGUGUGCCAACAAUGACCUGCUCACAUAUGGGAAGCAGUUCAUGUCAUUCUUUGAUGCGUGUCCAAACGCAUUUGGUGGUCUUGUGCGCCUCACGCUAGAGAAUUUGAGGUUAGGAGAAUCUGACUUCCCCAAAAUUUUCAGUAUGUGCAAGCAACUGGAGUUCCUCUCCCUCUACGAAUGUGACAUGGGUAUUCAGUCUUUUCUGGAAGUGGAACACCCGCAACUCGGUGAACUAGUUAUUGUCUGUGGCCGUCUUGAGAGGGUUGAUCUCAAGUGGGCACCAAAGCUCACAAAACUGAAAUUUAAUAUAUUUAGAUGUAAAGAUGACCCCUUCUGUCUCGGCUAUGUCCCACUGCUCCACACUGUGUCCAUCAUUAAUGUUGCUUUCACUUGGCACAAGAUGCUCAAGUUAAGUGAGUUGCUUGAUAAAGCUGCCAUAAGCAAUCUGACUUUGGACUUCAAAAGCGAAAAGAUUUGGGUCAAACCGGAAGGUCGAAGACAAUUGCUACCGGUGUUCCACAAACUCAGGAUUGUGAACUGGAUUAACAUUGCUGAAGAGUGUGACCUGACUUGGACCAUGUUCUUACUCCAUGGUGCACCCAACCUUAAGGAACUACACAUCUUGGUGAACUCUUGUACCGAUUCUCCAAUUCUCAUUUUCGAUGUUCAAACUUUGUGUGACCAGUUAGGAAUUUUUUUACCUGACCGAAUGCAGGUGCGGAAUCAUCUAUGUGAAAUGGUAACAGGGAAGCGGAGGGAGUUGCCUGUCGUUUGCAAGGAGAAGGACAAGGGACUAGAGUGGGAACCAUCUACAUCUGAUUUCAAGCACCACAACCUGGCUGCGCUCAGUAUCUAUGGGAGGUUUCAUGCAGUAGACAAACUGGUGCGCUUUGCGAGAAAUGUCGUGGAAGCAGCGGUGAAUCUGGAGGACAUAAGACUAUAUAAGAGUCCAGUGUGUGUGAGGUGCAAGCACAUGCUUCAGGAGUGGACAUUUGAGGAGACGUCUUGGCUUAGCUAUGAAUUCAGCAAGGAGAUUCCCUCGGUCGUCCGUAUUCACUUCCCCAGUUUAGGGCAAGUCUUCUCAAAAUAA